UAUAUAUGUAGAUAGCUAACGCGGAUGCUGUGACAAAGGAGUUCAAUGAUCAUAUGGUGUAUAUAGCUCGGUGUUUCUGUUUAACAUUGCCUGUCUAGGUACCGUCAGCUGGUAAAAUCUGGCUUGUUUUUCAGAUGAAUACGUGCUCAUUGUGUAAUAGGACAUUUCCUUUUCCUUACACGGAUAAAUAGCUUAACAUAAUUUAUCAUUGGUCACACAACUCAAACAGAGGAGAACAUAUUCAUUAUCUAGAAACAUCAGUUCUUCCAAAAAGUAAAAAUUAUUAUUAUAUAAUUAUAACAUCAUAAACCAAAUAGUGUUAAGCAAUAAGUACGGGAUAUAGUUCGUGAGUAACUCGCCGCUUAGCGAGCACUGCCGGGGAACCAUGAGACAGUCGGGGAAAAAAUAAGCGGACACUCGACGCUACUGCAUUUAGGGUCUACGGCAACUUUUGCAAGCUCAGAUACGAGAGAAGAACUUUAACGCAGUUCUUACUAAUUCUGACGUGUGCAUUUCGUAGGGGGCGCUGUCACGAUGUCAGCUCCACCUGCAGGCCCACCGCCACAGGUCCCACCGGGGCCUUAUAUACCCUUUACAGCGUUAACCGCAACCCGAAAUAUAGUCUCUUCCAGCAGCACGCCACAGGAUCCCGUUACAGCUGUAACGCGUCGCUGGGCUUAUCUGAGCCGGGAAUACCCGAUAGCCAUCGUGAAAUACUUUGACAUUGAAGCGAUCAUCCAGGACGGUCCGCAAUGUGGGCUUGUUGCAUUGGCUAUGAUUGCAAUCGCUCUCGGCCGUAAAACGAGCGUCGACGAAAUUUUCGCCUGGGCCCAUGAGCAGGGUUUUACGGCUCUCGGAGAGAUGUUUGAUAUUCGCAAUAUGAAGAAGUUAUGUGUCAAGUUUGUUGAAAAACCAUCUACUGUAAUAGCGUUUCCGUCCAAAAAAACUAUGGUCUCCGAUCUUAUCAAGGGCAAACUGUUUCUCGUUCCAUACGACGCUGAUGCUAAUCACGAGCCGUGCAGAAAGAAUGGUCGUUCUAGCCACUGGGCUGUCGUUUUUGGCGUGUUAUUAAUGCGGCACGAGUGCUACUGCCUUGAAGGAUUGCCGAAGUUAUCCGCUGAUAAACCAAUUUACCGUGCCGAACUUGGCUAUGACUGUGAAAUGGGUGGAAGAGAGUUUCUAUUUGCUCGACAGGGCAAAAGUCGACAUGUCGCCGUGUGGUCAUUUGAAGAAUUAUACAAUAGUUGUAUGCAAUUAAAUGAAGCUAGCAAAAAGUAUGAGGGAAUGAUUGUCCCCGAAGGUGGGCUAGCGGAAGGUCUAAGAGGAAAAGUGAUAAAGAUCCAUCUAUGAAGAUAAGAACGUCGAAGUAAACAUUUUUGCUCAAAAUGCUCAAUUCCAAAUGUUGUGCAUAAGUUGGAUAACUAUGUACGUCUCCUAUUGUACUUCGAUUGCUAGAAAUGUUUCUAAGUUUUCUAAGCAAUUAUGUAUUACCUCUAACGGAACAGUACAUAAUGUUCAAUGUUUACAAUCAAUUAUAUCGAAAAGCUUCAUUCGUUGAAGUUUUUCGAUAUAAUUGAUUGAAUCGAUGAAGAUCGUUCAGUGUGAUAUCUUAAACUGGGUGAAACAGCACAGCUAAUUGAUAAAGAUCCUGUAAUUGCGGCGGAAACGAUUGUAGGUUUAGUCAAGGAACGACCCAUACCUUUAGGUUGAUGCUUAACCUCUUCGACGAGGAACGACCCAUGCCUUUAGGUUGAUGCUUAACCUCUUCGACAGCGCCUUAUCAGAACUUCUGUAUCGUUAGUAUUUCAAAUAUGCCAUAAUCAUUUCUUGUUCGCCAAAUGGAAGAAUCGCUGAGUUUUGUCGUAAGGCGAACACCACCUGCUCACUUUUCUGGAAGUUGUCCUGACGGCGCAGAGACAAACUCGAGCUAAAAUCAGCCUCUGAUGGACGCUGCGUUGCAGAACUUCUCGUAACGCGCCCGCAUUUGAAUGUAGCGCGAACGUUGCACGGA